rnacentral:rRNA from 1 species
UACAGAGGGGGCAAGCGUUGUUCGGAAUUACUGGGCGUAAAGGGCGCGUAGGCGGCCUGUUAAGUCGAACGUGAAAUCCCCGGGGCUCAACCCGGGAACUGCGUCCGAUACUGGCAGGCUUGAAUCCGGGAGAGGGAUGCGGAAUUCCAGGUGUUAGCGGUGAAAUGCGUAGAUAUCUGGAGGAACACCGGUGGCGAAGGCGGCCCCCCUGGUUGGAGUACG